rnacentral:rRNA from 1 species
UUAUCAAAAACAUGUCUCUUUGAGAUUUUUUAAUAAAGAGUUGGGCCUGCUCGGUGAUUAAUUUUAACAGCUGCGGUAUUAUAACUGUACUAAGGUAGCAUAAUAAUUUGCUCUAUAAAUUGGGGCUAGAAUGAAUGGUUUGACGAAAAUUUGACUGUCUCUAUUUUAUUUAUUAGAAAUUAAUUUUUGUAGUGAGAAAGCUUAAAUUGUUUAAAGGGACGAAAAGACCCUAUUGAGCUUAUAUUAUUUUAUAAAUUAUAUGAUUGUUGUUUAUUUAAAAUAAUUUUGAUUGGGGUGAUCAAGGAAUAAGAUUGUUUAAAUUAACUUCCUUAAUUAAUUUGUUUUGUGGAAAAAUAAACCAAAUUUUUUGCUUAGAAGAUAAGUUACCAUAGGGAUAACAGCGUAAUUUUUUUUGAGAGUUCAUAUUGAAAAAAGAGAUUGCGACCUCGAUGUUGGAUUAAAAUUAACCUUAAGGUGAAGAGGCUUUAUUAG